UAGCUUGCUCUUAUGAAGUUAGCGGCGUGACGGGUGAGUAACACGUGGGUAACCUGCCCAUAAGACUGGGAUAACUCCGGGAAACCGGGGCUAAUACCGGAUAACAUUUUGAACCGCAUGGUUCGAAAUUGAAAGGCGGCUUCGGCUGUCACUUAUGGAUGGACCCGCGUCGCAUUAGCUAGUUGGUGAGGUAACGGCUCACCAAGGCAACGAUGCGUAGCCGACCUGAGAGGGUGAUCGGCCACACUGGGACUGAGACACGGCCCAGACUCCUACGGGAGGCAGCAGUAGGGAAUCUUCCGCAAUGGACGAAAGUCUGACGGAGCAACGCCGCGUGAGUGAUGAAGGCUUUCGGGUCGUAAAACUCUGUUGUUAGGGAAGAACAAGUGCUAGUUGAAUAAGCUGGCACCUUGACGGUACCUAACCAGAAAGCCACGGCUAACUACGUGCCAGCAGCCGCGGUAAUACGUAGGUGGCAAGCGUUAUCCGGAAUUAUUGGGCGUAAAGCGCGCGCAGGUGGUUUCUUAAUUCUGAUGUGAAAGCCCACGGCUCAACCGUGGAGGGUCAUUGGAA
rnacentral:rRNA from 1 species